ACCAGGCAAGGGGCUUUCUCAGGAGUGGUACCCACCCUUUGAAUUUCCUCAUAUUAAGAGAUCCUAUACUGAUAUUUGUUGGAACUCAAAUUCUGCCAAUAAUUCCUCCUUUGCCUCUCUUGACAAUUUCAUUUUCCAGAUGGUGGAAGAAACAAGAAGGGGAUCGUCUAACUCAGACUUGCUCCUCACCAACAGGGAAGUACUGAUCGAUGAAGUGGAAGUUCUUGAAAACUUGGGAAGUAUUGAUUGUGUCCUCCUGCAUUUCACAAUACAGAGGCAAGGGAAAGCUGAGUGUUGGUGCUGACCUUUAAAGCCCUAAACAGCCUCGGUCCUGUAUACCUGAAGGAGCGUCUCCACCCCAUCAUUCGGCCCAGACACUGAGGUCCAACACUGAAAGCCUUCUGGCGGUUCCCUCGCUGCGAGAAAUGAGGUUACAGGGAAGCAGGCAGAGGGCCUUCUCGGUAGUGGUGCCUGCCCUGUGGAACGCCCUCCCAGCAGAUGUCAAGGAAAUAAACAACUAUUUUACUUUUAAAAGACAACUGAAG